rnacentral:rRNA from 1 species
AGAGCGAACGCUGGCGGCAGGCCUAACACAUGCAAGUCGAACGCCCCUUCGGGGGAGUGGCGGACGGGUGAGUAACGCGUGGGAAUGUGCCCUUUGGUACGGAACAACUGAGGGAAACUUCAGCUAAUACCGUAUGUGCCCUUCGGGGGAAAGAUUUAUCGCCAUUGGAGCAGCCCGCGUUGGAUUAGGUAGUUGGUGGGGUAAAGGCCUACCAAGCCUACGAUCCAUAGCUGGUCUGAGAGGAUGAUCAGCCACACUGGGACUGAGACACGGCCCAGACUCCUACGGGAGGCAGCAGUGGGGAAUCUUGCGCAAUGGGCGAAAGCCUGACGCAGCCAUGCCGCGUGUAUGAUGAAGGUCUUAGGAUUGUAAAAUACUUUACACCGGGGUAAGAUAAUGACGGUACCCGGAGAAGAAGCCCCGGCUAACUUCGCGCCAGCAGCCGC